rnacentral:rRNA from 1 species
UACGAAGGGGGCUAGCGUUGCUCGGAAUCACUGGGCGUAAAGCGUGCGCAGGCGGCUUUGCAAGACAGAUGCGAAAUCCCCGGGCUUAACCUGGGAACUGCAUUUGUGACUGCAUGGCUGGAGUGCGGCAGAGGGGGAUGGAAUUCCGCGUGUAGCAGUGAAAUGCGUAGAUAUGCGGAGGAACACCGAUGGCGAAGGCAAUCCCCUGGGCCUGCACUGACGCUCAUGCACGAAAGCGUGGGGAGCAAACAGG